rnacentral:rRNA from 1 species
AUGCUUGGCGGCAUAGAUUGUAUGCACUGGGAGUGGAAGAACAGUCCAUUUGCUUGGCAGGGCCAGUACAAGGGGCAUGUCAGCGAGUGCACUGUCAUAUUAGAAGUUGUGGCAUUGCAGGAUCUCUGGAUAUGGCAUUCUUUCUUCGGUAUGGCAGGUUCUCACAAUGAUAUCAACACGCUGCAACGUUCUCCAGUCUUCGCGAGGCUUGCAGAAGGCCGCUCCCCACCUGUCAACUUUGAGGUCAAUGGCCACCAGUACAACAAAGGAUACUAUCUAGCUGAUGGUAUAUAUCCUCAGUGGUCAAGUUUUGUGAAGACAAUCUCGAAGCCCCAAGGUGAGAAGAGAAAGAGAUUUGCCCAAAUGCAAGAGAGUGCUAGAAAGGAUGUGAAACGUGCUUUUGAUGUGCUUCAAUCCCGAUGGGGCAUCGUUCGAUACCCUGCACUGUCAUGGGAUGAAAGAAAGCUUUGGGAGGUGAUGACUGCUUGUGUGAUCAUGCACAACAUGAUCGUCGAGGACGAGCGUGAUGACAGUAUCUUCGACCAAGGAUUUGACUAUCAAGGUGACAAUGUUGAGCCCCUGCAUCAAGAACCGACCACGUUUGAUCAGUUCGGCCCGUUCCAUCGUGAGCUGCGUGAUUAG